GCGCUCGUAGCUCAACUGGAUAGAGCGACAGACUUCGGAUCUGUAGGUUAUGGGUUCGAUUCCUAUCGGGCGCACCA
rnacentral:tRNA from 230 species